UAUAUUUAAUAUUUAUAAGAUUAAGUUUUUAUUUUUGACUUUAAUUUUAAGAAAAAAUUUUUUUCUAAUAUAUAAUUUUUUUAAUUUUAAUAAAUUAAAAUAUUAUAAUUAUUUAUAAAUUUAAAAUUAUAAAUAAUUAUUUUUUAGUAGUGAAAUUUAAUGUAUUAAUUAAUGUUAAACUUAGAAUUUUUUAUAAAAUAGGUUAAUUUAGUGCCAGCAACUGCGGUUAUUCUAAAUAUUUAAUUAAAAUUAAACCGAAGUUUUAAUAUUAUUUUAAAUAUUUUAAAAUUAUAUAAUAAAUUAAUUUUAUAUAGAUGAAAUUUUAUAAAGUUUUUAUAUUUAUUAAUUUUUUAAUUAGUUAAUUUAUUAAAAUAUGAAAAUAAACUAGGAUUAGAUACCCUAUUAUUCUUAUAGGAAGAAUCAAAACUUUUCAUAUUAAAUGUAAAUCAUUAAAUGUGUCAAAUAUGGCGGUAAUUUAUAAUAAUUAGAGGAAUCUGUUUUGUAAUUGAUAAUCCACGAUAAGAAAUACUUUUAAUAAAUUUUAUGUAUUGCUGUUUUUAUUUUUUAAUUUAAUUUUAUUAGAAGUAAAUUUUAUUUAAAUAAGAAUUCAAGUCAAAAUGUAGUUUUUAAAAGAAUUUUAUGGGUUACUAUAUUAUUUUAUUUCGAAUUAUUUAUUUUAAAUUAAAUAUGAAGAAGGAUUUAAUAGUAAUUAAAUUUAAUUUAAUUUAAUGAAUAUUGUUCUAAAUUAUGUACAAAUUGCCCGUCACUUUCAUUAAAUAUGGAAUAAGUCGUAACAAAGUAAAUGUAUUGGAAAAUGUAUUUAGAUUU
rnacentral:ncRNA from 1 species